GAUCAAUCAAAUCGCAGAAAAUAUUGAAAGCUGUUCUCUCAUCACUGAUUACGUUUUUAAUUCACCAAAAAAAUGUCGAGAGUUUUAUUUUUGGUACUUCUGAUAGCACUGAUAGCUGUUGGCAUAACUACUGCUUGUUUACAAGUUGGUGAUGAAUGUCACGAAUCCAAUGACUGUUGCAACCGUCGAUGCGGGUCAAAUGAGUUUGGAGACAGACACUGUUAUCCAGAUGAUGGAUCUGAUUUCUAAAUCUACAAAUCCGUAAAAUGUUGUAGUUAUUAUACACAACAGUAUAAUAUAUUUAUUAUACUAUCCUGAAAAAAUAUAUACAUAUUUCUUUACAUUUAUUAAAAAUCUUUUAGUAUAUAAUUUGAAUUUAAAAAUUUUGAACAUCCUGAGAUAAGUC